UUUACUGGGGAAGACCGGGGGUGAAUUUGCAAGAUGAUCCAAACUGCUGCUCCCAGUUAUGACUGCACAAUGACUUGUCAGUCAACCAUGUCUGAUUGUCAACGAACAGUCACUGAUGAGCAUGAGCCGUCCAAAGUCAACAUAACAAACAUCUACAAUUUCGUGAAGAAAGGACUUGGGAAAACUUGAAUAUUCAUACAUGUCCCAUGUCCUCAGGACACCACAAAUUAUGUCACGACCAAUAAAUUAGUUUUGAAGUGCUGUUAUAUUA